CGCGCAGAGUGAGAGAGAGGGGGAAGGCGAGGGAGAGAUCCUCCUCGCGUCGCGUCCCCAUUCACACCUCAAUCUCACCACGGAUUCCUCUGCGCUGCUGGCCGCCUCCUCGUCUACCCCGUUCGUUGGCCGCGGCGGAUCCUUCCCGCCGCCGACGCCGACGCCGCGCACGCGCUUCACGGUUCUCUGGUCUACUUGAUGAAUAUUUAAUACCAUCAUCCCCAAGGAAGAUCCUAAGAGAGAGAGAGAGUGUGUGAGGGGAAUUUACAUUUGUUUAUGUAAAUUACCCGUGUGGCAGAUAAUGGCUGCGAUGAUGUUAUGUACGUGCAGCGGGGACCAAUCCAAAUUUGAAGAGAUGCCACGAUCACCGGAGUCUCUUGCGACACGGGACUUCUCAGCAAGUGCUUCUUGUUCGAGAACAGGAAACCGAGAAACAACACCCGAUGAUAGCCAAGUGAAUGAAGUGGAAUCAGACUUAAGAGAGACUCUUUCACUAAAUUAUGAGGAGGCCCGAGCAUUGCUAGGUAGACUGGAAUAUCAGAGAGGGAAUUUCGAUGCAGCAUUGCAAGUCCUUCAGGGAAUUGAUAUAAGAAGCCUGAAACCACGAAUGACCACAGCUAUUACUGAAAGUGCCAAGCCUAGAGUUUCUCCACGUUCUUCAAGAAGGAAAACCUCACAAGUGAAUGGAAUGCUAGUGCAUAUGUCAAUGCAUUCUGUAAGCUUACUUCUAGAAGCCAUAUUGCUUAAAGCAAAAUCCUUGGAAAGUCUUGGCAGAGUGACAGAUGCUGCAGAAGAAUGCAGAACCAUCAUAGACAUUGUAGAAUCUGCAUGGCCGAGUGGCGUUCCUGAAGGUACUUCUGAAGAGUGCAAGUUGAUAGAUAUGUUCCACUCGGCUCUAGAAUAUCUUCCUAAUCUAUGGAUGAGAAGUGGUUGUUUUGAGGAGGCCAUAAUUGCAUAUCGGAGGGCUCUCGGAAGGCCCUGGAAUUUAGAUUCUCAAAGGUCUGCUAACUUACAGAAGGACUUAGCAGUGACUCUAUUAUACUGUGGUAUUGAAGAGAAGUCAACUCAGGAGUUCAAUCAGCAACAGAACAUGAUAACCCCUGAGAACAAUCUUGAGGAAGCAAUUUCACUACUGUUCGUACUUAUCAGAAAGCUAGCCUUCCAGCAAAUAAAGUGGGAUCCUGACCUCGUAAAUCAUUUGACAUAUGCCUUGUCAUUAUCUGGCCAUUAUGAAGUCUUAGCCAGGCAUCUAGAGAUGUUGUUGCCUGGAACCUAUAGCAGGUCAGAAAGAUGGUUCAUUCUCGCGCUUUGCUACAGUGCAGCUGGCAUGGAUGAUAGUGCCUUAAACAUCAUAAGGAAUGGUUUCCGUGUGCUACAGAGAAAGGGAAAACCUCAUAUUCCAUCUCUUCUUUUAGGAGCCAAACUAUGUUGUAAGAACCCAAAGCAUGCUUCUGAAGGAAUAGAAUUUGCAAAUAGAGCCAUGAAGUCUUUCACAAGUCAUGAUCUACAUUUCAUCAGUGUUGUAAAUCAUUUUCUUGGUGUCUGUUAUGGACCUUUUGCUAGGUCAUCCACCUGUGACUCGGAAAAAAUGAGAUUGCAAGAUGAUGCACUGAGGUUGUUGCAGGAUGCUGCAUCACUGGCGAAGAAUAGUCCUGAAAUACUGUACAGCCUUGCUUGGGAAAAUGCAAUGCAGCGCAAACUGAAUGCAGCUAUUGAAAGUGCGACGGAAUGUCUUGAACUGGUGACAGGAAGUUCAGUUAGUACCUGGAAGUUGUUGAUUCUAGUGUUGUCUGCACAGCAGAAUUUACAAGAAGCCGAAGCUCUAGCAGAUUUAGCACUAGAUGAGGCCGAGGAAGAGGAGCAAAUGGGUAUUUUGAGGCUAAAAGCACAGAUUCAGGCAUCCCGUGGACAAUUCAAGUCGGCGGUGGAAUCUUUAAGGAGUUUGCUUGCAAUCAUUCAAGCAAAGAAGGAAGUUUGGAAAUCGACCCCAUAUGAUAAGGUUAAAUCACUACAUAAGUUAGAGAUGGAAGCUUGGUUAGAUUUGGCCUCAAUAUAUACAGAGCUUGAAUCAUGGCAUGACUCAAACAUCUGCCUUGACAAAGCCGAAUCCAUCAAUUCCUUCAGUUCAAAGUGCUGGCAUGUCAAAGGCCUUAUAUUGGAGGCUCAGUCCUUGCACCAAGAAGCCCUUGCGGCAUUCUCAUUCUCCCUAUCCAUCAAUCCAGACUAUGUCCCUAGCAUGGUUUGUAUGGCUGGAAUUCUAAGAAAUGUUGGAGGGAAGUCAUUGCCCAUCGCGAGAACUUUCCUGCGCAAUGCCAUCCGCCUAGAGCCAACAAACCAUAAAGCCUGGCUGGGGCUUGGACUUGUCUCGAAAUCCGAAGGAUUGCCCCUUGAGGCUGCCGACUGCUUCAAGGCCGCCUACGAGCUCCGAGAGUUGUCGCCGAUUCAGGACUUCUCCGAGCAACUUCCCAUCUUGCUGCAAUAGAAACCCAUUGCCUUGCCAGAUAUCAAAAGAGAGAAAAAUCCAUUGCCUUGCGCCCUUGCCAAAUAGCACAGGUUUUUGCUGCAGAGAUUGUGCCUUCUCAUUGUGCCCUUUCUCUGCAACCGGUAAAUUAUGUGAAUGUAGUAUACCAAUUUCUUUAGAUGGACAUCCUUGCCAAUAUUGUCUUAUGGAAGAGAAGCAUAAAUGGUAAAUUAUGUGAAUGUAGGUACUAUAUCAUUUCCUUAGCUGGACAUCCUUGAAAAUUUUGUUUUAUGGAAGAGAAGCAUAGAUGGUAAAUUGUGUGGAUGUAGGUAUAUCCAUUUCACUUAGUGUUGCAACGUUGAGCAUCCUUGGCUGGACAUCCUUACAAAUUUUGUUCUGUUGAGAAAGCAUAAAUGAAAGAGACAUGCUGCAAGUCCGAUCUUAGCUUUUGGCCGGGCAGGUUUGCAUUGCUCAGAAAAAUGUUUCCACAUAAUAAUGAAACUCAUAAAACAAGGUGAUCCGGUCAGCCUGCUGCCCACUGCCGUAGGUGAUGCGGUGCUUGAUCUUCUUGAUAAGAAGAUUCUCCGUCGUCUGGCCAAGGUUUGGGUGGCGAUUGUUGCGCUCCGCCUUGCGCCGCUCCUUGAUCUUAAUUAGAUUCUCCGUUGUCUGGCUGCCACGCUGAUGAGCUGCUUAACGGUAAGGCCAUCGAGGUUCGGGCGGCGGCCGAGCAUGGCGUCAUGGAGGAGCGUGGUCUCGCGUAGUCGCGUUGGCCGUUGUGGCGCUCCGCCUUGCGCAGCUGCUUCCGCAUCUUGCCUGUGCGCUCCUGGACGUAAUCCUCCCCAAGUCCCCAUCCGUCUUCUUCCAUUGGUCGAUGUCUGGCAUGGACUUCAAACGCUUGAUUAAUGGGCAUCACCGCAUCACCACCGGGAGGGACGGCCAGACUCGAGUACUCCAUGAUCACCUUCUUGCGAGCAGAUUAUCCAAGUUAGCUAGAAAUCGAAGGGAAAUGUAUUACGGUGUUCUUAUGAGUAUGGGAUGAACAGAUUACAUACAUCCACGUGAUCGGAAAGGAAUUAUUCUGACAGAUCUGAGGAUUGCUGAUAUAA